UACGUAGGGUGCGAGCGUUGUCCGGAUUUAUUGGGCGUAAAGAGCUCGUAGGCGGUUUGUCGCGUCGGCCGUGAAAACCUGCAGCUUAACUGUGGGCUUGCGGUCGAUACGGGCAGACUUGAGUUCGGUAGGGGAGACUGGAAUUCCUGGUGUAGCGGUGAAAUGCGCAGAUAUCAGGAGGAACACCGGUGGCGAAGGCGGGUCUCUUGGCCGAUACUGACGCUGAGGAGCGAAAGCGUGGGGAGCGAACAGG
rnacentral:rRNA from 1 species